GAACAAGGAGCCGUAGGGAACCUGNGANUGGAUCACNUCCUUAAUUNGAAGACAUCAGCCUGNUGAUGAGCUCCCACACGAAUUGCUUGAUUCCUCGAAGAAGACGAUGCUGUAACGCGACCCUGUUAUAGGUCUGUAGCUCAGUUGGUUAGAGCGCACCCCUGAUAAGGGUGAGGUCGGCAGUUCAAAUCUGCCCAGACCUACCAUUCGCUGGGUGCAGAGACGACGGGGCCAUAGCUCAGCUGGGAGAGCGCCUGCCUUGCACGCAGGAGGUCAGCGGUUCGAUCCCGCUUGGCUCCACCAUUUGCUUUGCUGCACAGUUACCUGCAGAACUUAGAAAUGAGCAUUCCAUUGUGAAUGUUGAUUUCUGACUUUUGUCAGAUCGUUCUUUAAAAAUUCGGAUAUGUGAUAGAUAGACUGAUGACCACUUUCACUGGUGGACCAUCAGGCUAAGGUAAAAUUUGUGAGUUCUGCGCGAAAGCGCGACAUGCGAAUUUUCGGCGAAUGUCGUCUUCACAGUAUAACCAGAUUGCUUGGGGUUAUAUAUGGU
rnacentral:tRNA from 1 species